UGGUCGGCUUCUGCAUUUCGCCGAGGUAUAAAAGUCGGAGGAGUUAUUCUUGUGCUCACAGCACGCUUGUGCUGCAACUGAACAACAGGUUGAGUAUGCAUGUGUUUGUGUGGUAUUGCUUGGGAUCUUGCAAAUUCAGCAUCUUAUUUUUUUUACCAUGCUGUAGUUUUAACAAAUCUAGAAGGAAUAGUGUUUCUUUUAUCACUACUUUGAAACUUAUAAACAAGGUGUUAAAAGAGAGGGAAUAAAAGAGGAGACAUUUACAAUUGCUGGUGGAAGUAAAUGUUGAAAUGAAAAGCACUUUUACCAUCGAAUAUGAAUGCUACAGUGUGUCAUUAAUGUGUAAUAUGUGGCAUUUUCAUUGUUUUUAUAUAGGUUUUUUUUGCCAUAUACUUUGAGAAAAAAACAGUAAAAUAUGAAGGCAUAUGGUUUUGUCCUGUUAGCCUCCCGGAAAGAAGGAAGAGUCAUUUUGUAAGAGGAGGCAGCUGCAUGAGGUGGAAAUUACUGUGUAUAUGUUUGCAUGGGUGGAUGUGUGUGGGUGUAAAUGCCUACCUCUUUAACUAUUAUUAUGUUAAUGUAUUUGUGUGGGGAUCUGUGCUUGUGGGUACUGUAUAUAUGCUGCCUGUGUGCCACUAGAGUUGUGAUACAGCACUGCAGGACGCCUUCACAAUUGCGGGUAAAAACAGGCAUUAACCUCUUGACUCCGACCAAAGACAUGAGCCCCAAAGGAAACUCUUAAGAUCAAAACUUUCCUCCUUUGAUUUUUCUUCUCCCUACAGAUUGCAGGGAGUAUGAGAUCUCUUUCAUUUACUAUCACCUCACAGCACCGAAUCCCCAAGAGCCCAAUUUAGACUUCUGCAUAAAGAAACCUUAGUUGUCGGCUGUUGUAUAACUUUGUUUAACCACUGCCUUUGUGCCAGAACAACCAUUGGGGAAGUGGAAAGGGUAUAAUUUGUCAGGCACUGAGGCAGUUGGCAUCCAGUUCAAAAAACACACUUCAUGUUCUUUAUAACAGUGUACUAUAAAACAGCACAGACCCAACAGGAAAAGGUUUGAUUAUAAUAUAUAGGAUUGUGAGCAGUGAGGUAGCUCUUUCAUUUUGCUAUAUUAAUACCAACACCCAUUUGGAUAAUAUCAUGCAUAAUGAGAAAAUACAGUAUAUACAAAAAUACAGGAUAAACAGAUACCAGAUUCAUCCAAAGCAUGCAUACUCUCCACAAAGGGGAGAUAAGCGCUUGCUGAAUUGUUGUGCAACAGUACCCUGGGGGCAUUAUGCUACAGCAGAGUUAGCAUUUUAAAGAUUCUGCCCAGGGCUCUAGCACACACCACACACAUACACACUCACACACAGUGAAGCAUUUGUAAAUGGGCCAUGUUUCUCACAGAUAUCAGUAAAAAGGAAGCCAUCUGCAUGUGUUUUCAUGUUAUGUUAUAUAACCUCAUCUCAGGUUUAACCUAUGCAGAAAGGAAUGCUCUGUUGCCAUACCUGUUUAAAUCCAGACUGAAAUGUCAUCACCUCAGGAUUACCACUGGCUGUGAUGGGCGUCAGCUUGCUCUGCCCAGGCCCUGCUGUGAUCUCAGCUGGGAUGGCAGAUGAGGCACGUCGCACGAAAACCAACACACAAGGUCACAAACACAUAAAUAAGAACCUUUAAAGAAUAUUAUUCCUCCUUUAGCUAUUUAGGUUUGCAAAAUUAAAUUAAAUAUUCAGGGUUGAUAGUAAUCCUAUUAGGAUUUAAUUCACUUGUUCCCCAAAGCUUGGGAAAGAGGGCAAGAAUGACGAUAUUAUUAGCUUAACAUAAGUUUAUGUUUUUUUGUUUAUUGUUACUUUUGAACUGUGUUGUGUUAAAAAUACAUGCACUGCACUUCACCCUGGAUAAGUUUUACAUUCAUUUGUGGUGUUUUGUAAGCCCAAGCAGACUGUGUAGCUUCGUAGGCUUCACUAUACAUACACACACGUGGAGUUAAGUGUGCACACCCAAACGCAUAUGGAAUCUGCAACUCCAAAACACACAAACCACGUCCUCACCUGCAGCUGCACUGGACCUGUCAUAGCAGCGGCUGUGUUGUCGCUCUCCAGGGAGACACUAGUAAUUGGUCAUUUGUUUUUUCACCUGUCUGGGGACAUUAUGUAACUUCAGCAAACUGGCAACAAGGUCACAACAUCUCACGUGGGGGCAAACAUUAGUCCCUAAUCUACCUGCUGUUAGCAAGACGGCCUGCUGAUGAGGUUAUGAAAGUGUUUCUUUGUAGCCCUUGUGGUUCAUUUAUGAAGGUGUAAUUGUUGAAGUGCUAACAUUACAGCAUUUUAAAGUGUGUGUGCAUGUAUAUGUAGGUGUGUAUAGUAGAUGAACACAUGUAUUCAUGCUCUGCAUGUAUUACUUGUAAGAUAAACUCUGAGACAGUCAAUAUGCAAACAAUAUGAAUAUACUGGACUCACCUCAAAGUAUCUUUCCCAAGCAAUCAACAAGCUUUUGAAAAAAAGUAGUGUGUAUAACACAGUGACAGUUACUACCACAAUUGAUCAGAUUAAUGACUACUUUAGUUCUCAGCUCUGAACUCACUCUUGGUUUACAGGUUCUUCCCUGAAGACUACAGGCCAGGCAAUAUAUUUCUCUCUUGCUACGCACUGGGCCUGUUGGUUUUAUAAGGAGUUGUGGUUCAGAGUUGGUGCUCCAGUUGGCAUACAGUCAUGUCUGCCUUUGAGAAGGAGCCACGAGUGAAUCUGACCUACUUGUUAGAGAACUGCACCAGUGUCCUCGAUUAGAAACAUUUGCCUCCAUAAGUACCUGAGAUUUUCGAUGUAUUCAUUUGUUUAAACCCAGUUCACGCUGACAAUAAAUAAGACUUACCAAAGGCAAUUAUUCUGCAACUGUUGACUGGAAUCUCAGCACACAGAUGUGUAAGGUAAUCUGCAAAGUAUUUUCCCACACCCUGAAAUCUGUUGCAAAAUACUUUCCAGCUUGAAAGUGACAAUGCAUCUUACAUCAUAUCUCGCACACUGACUCAUGAAACAUGGUAGGUAAAGAAAAAUGUGACUUAUGUUUACUUUACUUACUUUUAAUGUUCUAAGCUUAUCUAUGUAUCGAAGUUUUCUCCUUCAUGUUGUCAGUAUUAUUAAAUCUUAAACUCUUAUGACUGA